rnacentral:lncRNA from 1 species
CCACCAUGGCCACAGAGCAGCAGAGCAGGGUUGGAUUUCGUUAGCUGUGACCCACGUGACCAGAGCUGCCCUCUGUCCCUCAGACACAAGUAUUUUAAAAGCAAAGGGAAUGAAAAAUCUGCAACUACAUACCACUGAACACAAAUGGAAAUCACCAACAACAGGUUGAGGGAGCGAAGCUGAGCCCAGGUUUGGAGGGGCAUUGGAAGGGAAAUGACUUUCUCACUGUGCAAUGCCAGGCUUUGUUCAAGCAUUUGGGGAAACAAUGAGGAGGCAGCUUAUUCCCAGCUCCAGCAACAAGAGACCUUUCCCCUCGCUGGAGCAUGCAGCAUCAAAAGAAAAGAAGAGAGAUUUAGGAGGAGAACAAAGCAAGAUAACACUGACAAGGCUGAGAAGAAGGGCUGGCGUGGCAAUGCUCCUCCACCUGAGCCAGCAGCCCCUGGGACUCAUCCCUCUGCGUCCCUCUGAGGUUGUUGGGUGUUUUUCAAUAUUAAGAUAUGAUUCACACGCCACAUGUUCCAUACUUUUAAAGUAUAUGAUUAAAAAAAACCAAAGUGUACAAUUCAGUGGUUUUUAGUAUAUUUAUAAAGCUGUGCAAUCAUCACCACUAUUUAACCACAAAACAGUUUCAUUACCUCAGAAAGAAACCUCAUACCCAUUAGCCACCAACCCUCCCGCUCCCACUCAACUCCUCCAUACUCUGCUGCCUCCCAGGAAAUUAGAUAACCACAGAUCUACUUUCUAUCCCCCUGGGCUUACCUAUUCUGGGC